rnacentral:rRNA from 1 species
GAUGAACGCUGGCGGCGUGCCUAAUACGUGCAAGUCGAGCGAACGGACGAGAAGCUUGCUUCUCUGAUGUUAGCGGCGGACGGGUGAGUAACACGUGGAUAACCUACCUAUAAGACUGGGAUAACUUCGGGAAACCGGAGCUAAUACCGGAUAAUAUUUUGAACCGCAUGGUUCAAAAGUGAAAGACGGUCUUGCUGUCACUUAUAGAUGGAUCCGCGCUGCAUUAGCUAGUUGGUAAGGUAACGGCUUACCAAGGCAACGAUGCAUAGCCGACUGAGAGGGUGAUCGGCCACACUGGAACUGAGACACGGUCCAGACUCCUACGGGAGGCAGCAGUAGGGAAUCUUCCGCAAUGGGCGAAAGCCUGACGGAGCAACGCCGCGUGAGUGAUGAAGGUCUUCGGAUCGUAAAACUCUGUUAUUAGGGAAGAACAUAUGUGUAAGUAACUGUGCACAUCUUGACGGUACCUAAUCAGAAAGCCACGGCUAACUACGUG